rnacentral:rRNA from 1 species
AUUUGGGAUAACACUUCGAAAGGGGUGCUAAUACCGGAUAACAUCAUGAACUCUUAGGGGUUUAUGAUCAAAGAAGGCCUCUCCAUGGAAGCUUUUGUUUGAGGAUGAGCCCGCGUACCAUUAGCUAGUUGGUGGGGUAAUGGCCUACCAAGGCAACGAUGGUUAGCUGGUCUGAGAGGAUGAUCAGCCACACUGGAACUGACACACGGUCCAGACUCCUACGGGAGGCAGCAGUGAGGAAUUUUGCGCAAUGGGGGAAACCCUGACGCAGCAACGCCGCGUGAGUGAUGAAGGCCUUCGGGUCGUAAAAACUCUGUCGAGUGGGAAGAACCUACGUAAGGAUAAUACCCUUAUGUACUGACGGUACCACUGAAGGAAGCACCGGCUAACUCCGCGCCAGCAGCCGCGGUAAUACGGGGGGUGCAAGCGUUAUUCGGAAUUAUUGGGCGUAAAGGGCGCGCAGGCGGCCCUAUCAGUCAGAUGUGAAAGCCCUGGGCUUAACCCAGGAAGUGCAUUUGAUACUGUAGGGCUUGAGUAUGGGAGAGGGAAGUGGAAUUCCUGGUGUAGAGGUGAAAUUCGUAGAUAUCAGGAGGAACACCGGUGGCGAAGGCGACUUCCUGGACCAAUACUGACGCUGAGGCGCGAAGGCGUGGGGAGCAAACAGGAUUAGAUACCCUGGUAGUCCACGCAGUAAACGGUGAUCACUAGGUGUAGCGGGUAUUGACCCCUGCUGUGCCGCAGUUAACGCAUUAAGUGAUCCGCCUGGGGAGUACGAUCGCAAGAUUAAAACUCAAAGGAAUUGACGGGGGCCCGCACAAGCGGUGGAGCAUGUGGUUUAAUUCGACGCAACGCGAAGAACCUUACCUGGAUUUGACAUCUCGGGAAUCCCUUGGAAACUUGGGAGUGCCCUUCGGGGGACCUGAAGACAGGUGCUGCAUGGCUGUCGUCAGCUCGUGUCGUGAGAUGUUGGGUUAAGUCCCGCAACGAGCGCAACCCUUAUCUUUAGUUACCAGCAUUUCGGAUGGGGACUCUAGAGAUACUGCCCCGGUUAACGGGGAGGAAGGUGGGGAUGACGUCAAGUCCUCAUGGCCUUUAUAUCCAGGGCUACACACGUGCUACAAUGGGCGGUACAAAGAGUCGCGAGCCUGCGAAGGUUAGCUAAUCUCAUAAAGCCGUCCUAAGUUCGGAUUGGAGUCUGCAACUCGACUCCAUGAAGCUGGAAUCGCUAGUAAUCGUGGAUCAGCAUGCCACGGUGAAUACGUUCCCGGGCCUUGUACACACCGCCCGUCACACCAUGAGAGUUGAUUGUACCGGAAGUUGUCGGGCCAACCUUUCGAGGAGGCAGGCACCUAUGGUAUGAUUGAUGAUUGGGGUGAAGUCGUAACAAGGUA